CCCGCGCACGCGCAUACACAUAGCACGCGGGGACACUCUGUGUAAACAUGGAUCCUCUGACAGCGCAGAACGUGCACUUCUUAGGACUCCGCUGUCCGGGGGAUUCACGCUCACUAGCAGUGGGCCGCUGGGGAUUGACAGAGGGCGCUUGGGCGGCUUCCCACAACUCCCAGGUCCUGAUGGCAAAGAAGCUUUGGUGCCAAUGAUCACCCCGGAGUUCUCCUGCUGAGAAGGUUAUGCUGAACAGUGCCCCGAUGCCCUUUCUGUCUCCGGGAUUAUCCGCGAGGUGGAUUUAAAUCCGGUGCCUGCGCGGUGGACUCUAUCCGCGGACUGGAGACGGCAGAUUCUGUCCAGCCUGCCUGCUACAGCUGCGGCUCUCUGCACACCUCUCCCCGACGGUCCCCAAACUGCUCUGGCUCUGCCUUGCGCUUCCACGCGUGCCCUCCUUCGGCGCCCGUCCCGCCGCCCAGCCACACACCUGCAGUCCCCGCCGGGCGCCGAGCCCCUCUCCAGCGGCGAGUCCCGGCAAUUCAGGUGAGGAUGGGGACGCUGUGCCUUGGCUGGAGCCCCGCAGCGAGUCGCAGCAUCUGCCCAGCCUCCACAGCGCCGGAGGGCUUGGGGCGGGGCUUGACCGGGGGCGGGGCCAGCUGCCUAGCCGGCCUCUCGCGCCACCUGCUGGCCAGGCUGGGUCAGCCAGGUGCCAUCCUGGCCCCCGGCCUUUUACGACUCACCGUCCGGAACCUGCGGAGCCUCUGAGGAACAUCUCCCGGCUCCGAGCCCGCCUGCUCUCGGGAGGUACAGGCCCUGCCGGUGUUUGUUGGUAGCCAAAGGACGCCAGCGCUGAGCAGCACGACCCCCCAGAAACAACAUGGCAGGCCUCCUUACACCAAGAGUUGCAGUGAUUCGUCAGGGAACGCUAGAAGACACUGCACUUCCCAGUGCCUCAGUUUCCUCAUUUACAAAGUGAGAAUAAAAGGGCUUGCUACAGCAAAGGCAACCCCUGCAAUGAAAAACUAGCACUUUUAUUCUACGGUUGAGAAUGGGCAAGUCUGAAAUCACCACUUCCACUAUUGAAUGGGACUCUGUCACAAUAUCUGUUCCAGGCAUCCAAAACCCGCCACGGGGCUUAUACGUCGUUGGUGAAAGCCGCAGCCCUACCUGAGGCUUUGAGAGAUGCCAACACCAAUGACUUUUCUUUUCCUGAGUCCCUAAAUACCAAGAAAAAGCAGCUUCCUCAAAUGGACAGAGAAACAGAAAGUACCCUUGGGUGAGCUCAGAGGACUAGUUCCUGCCUGUAGUGAGACAUGGGAAAGGCUCAGUGCCCAUCAUCUUCCACUUCUCCAUCCACCAUUCCCAACUGCACACCCCAGGUGGCUGUGGAAGGGCCCUCCUAACAUCCCACAAAUGGGUGAGGGGACAUGGUCUCUGGUUUCUGUCUUCCCAGGCCCUACUUUAUCCACACCAAAAAAAAAAAAAAAAAAAAAAAAAAUGGUGGCAUUUGGAGGAAGAGAAGGAGAUAGAAGGUGGAAGCAGCCCAGAGGUGGCCAGGGUAGGAAGUAAAGGGUAGAAUCAGCUUUAGAAUCAGCAGGU